rfam:Hordeum vulgare subsp. vulgare, WGS project CAJW01000000 data, contig: morex_contig_1558759
UUCAUACUCCCUCUGUCCCAAAGUUCUUGCUUUAGAUUUUUGUCUAGAUAUGAAUGUAUCUAGUCACGUUUUAGUAUUUAGAGACAUCCAUUUCUAUACAAACCUAAGAAAAGAAUUUUGGGACGGAGGGAGUAUCUC